GAUGAACGCUAGCGGCAGGCCUAACACAUGCAAGUCGAGGGGUAGAACACUUCGGUGUUUGAGACCGGCGCACGGGUGCGUAACGGGUAUGCAAUCUACCUUGUACAGGGGAAUCGCCAAGAGAAAUUUGGAUUAAUGCCCCAUAGUAUAUAACCUUCGCAUGUUGGUUAUAUUAAAGUUCCAACGGUACAAGAUGAGCAUGCGUCCCAUUUGUUAGUUGGUAUGGUAAGGGCUAAACAAGGCGAUGAUGGGUAGGGGUCUUGAGUGGGAGACACCCCAAACUGGAAAUGAGACCCGGACCAGACUCCUACGGGGGGCAGCAGUGAGGAAUAUUGGUCAAUGGGCGCAAGCCUGAACCAGCCAUGCCGCGUGCGGGAAGACGGUCCUAUGGAUUGUAAACUGCUUUUAUACAGGAAGAAACCCUCCCACGUGUGGGAGAUUGACGGUACUGUAGGAAUAAGGAUCGGCUAACUCCGUGCCAGCAGCCGCGGUAACAC
rnacentral:rRNA from 1 species